UGGGGAAUAUUGCACAAUGGGCGCAAGCCUGAUGCAGCCAUGCCGCGUGUAUGAAGAAGGCCUUCGGGUUGUAAAGUACUUUCAGCGGGGAGGAAGGUGUUGAGGUUAAUAACCUCAGCAAUUGACGUUACCCGCAGAAGAAGCACCGGCUAACUCCGUGCCAGCAGCCGCGGUAAUACGGAGGGUGCAAGCGUUAAUCGGAAUUACUGGGCGUAAAGCGCACGCAGGCGGUCUGUCAAGUUGGUUGUGAAAUCCCCGGGCUCAACCUGGGAACUGCAUUCGAAACUGGCAGGCUAGAGGCUUGUAUAGGGGGGUAGAAUUCCAGGUGUAGCGGUGAAAUGCGUAGAGCUCUGGAGGAAUACCGGUGGCGAAGGCGGCGCCCUGGACAAAGACUGACGCUCAGGUGCGAAAGCGUGGGGAGCAAACA
rnacentral:rRNA from 1 species